CUACGGGGCGCUCCAGUGGGGAAUAUUGCACAAUGGACGAAAGUCUGAUGCAGCAACGCCGCGUGGAGGAUGACACAUUUCGGUGCGUAAACUCCUUUUAUAUAGGAAGAUAAUGACGGUACUAUAUGAAUAAGCACCGGCUAACUCCGUGCCAGCAGCCGCGGUAAUACGGAGGGUGCAAGCGUUACUCGGAAUUACUGGGCGUAAAGAGCGUGUAGGCGGGUUUGUAAGUUGGAUGUGAAAUCCUAUGGCUCAACCAUAGAACUGCAUCCAAAACUGCUUACCUAGAAUAUGGGAGAGGUAGAUGGAAUUUCUGGUGUAGGGGUAAAAUCCGUAGAGAUCAGAAGGAAUACCGAUUGCGAAGGCGAUCUACUGGAACAUUAUUGACGCUGAGACGCGAAAGCGUGGGGAGCAAACAGGAUUAGAUACCCGUGUAGUC
rnacentral:rRNA from 1 species